rnacentral:rRNA from 1 species
AAGCUCGUAGUUGAAUUUCGGGGUUAGUAGGUUGGUCAUGCCUCUGGUAUGUACUGGUCUCACUGAUUCCUCCUUCCUUAUGAACCGUAAUGCCAUUAAUUUGGUGUUGCGGGGAAUUUGGACUGUUACUUUGAAAAAAAUUAGAGUGUUUAAAAGCAAGCUAACGCUUGAAUACAUUAGCAUGGAAUAAUGAAAUAGGACGUUCGAUCUUAUUUUGUUUGGUUUCUAGGAUUGACGUAAUGAUUAAUAGGGAUAGUUGGG